CCUGGCUCAGCGGCCGGGGGAAGAGAAGAUUCCAGAAAGGGAGGUGAUUUUGGAAGGGCUCGGCCACCGGAGCCUGCGGGCACUUCUCUUCUUCCGCGACCGGGAGAAGGCCGAGGGAUCGGCGGCACGAUCGACAUUGUACACCUUGAAGGUGGACGGAUGUGAAGCCGCGCGUGCGUUUUGCCUCCAUCCGUAAAUGGGGCUAAGGCCCGUCACCCUUAAAGGAGCACUUUUCAGGAUUAGAAGAGGCUGUGUAUAGAAACAUACAAGCUUGCAAGGAGCUUGCCCAAACCACUCGUACAGCAUAUGGACCAAAUGGAAUGAACAAAAUGGUUAUCAACCACUUGGAGAAGUUGUUUGUGACAAACGAUGCAGCAACUAUUUUAAGAGAACUAGAAGUACAGCAUCCUGCUGCAAAAAUGAUUGUAAUGGCUUCUCAUAUGCAAGAGCAAGAAGUUGGAGAUGGCACAAACUUUGUUCUGGUAUUUGCUGGAGCUCUCCUGGAAUUAGCUGA
rnacentral:lncRNA from 1 species